CUACAUUUGGCCUUACUCUUUUGUUUUUAUGAAGUAUUGAGUGAAGGAGUGGCAGAAUAACGACGCAAUUGAAUACUGGUCGGACAAAUUGUUAUUGAAUCGACGGAUUGAAUGUGGGCGCUACGCCUCUCUGUGCCGAAAGCCGGCACCGAAGGGCAAUUCAUUCUUCUCAAUAUUUUCGUUGCAUUAAUCAAACUGCCUUCACAACUUCCCCUCUAAUCGCUCCCUUCACUUCCUCAGUGAUUUAAAAAGAGGUAGUGCAUGAAUUUCCGGCAAGGGACAAAAAGCAUGAGAUCCGGUUAGCAGGUGAAGAAAGUGACUCCAAAACAAUCUUUUUCAGUUUAGUGUUAUUACUAUAAUGCUGCCUUCCACAAUCCCACCCCAUAAAGAGGAAGACAAUGCCAACAAAAAUUAGUCUUGGAAUUGAUGCAUGUAUGUUUCUUUUCUUGUCCCUUUGUUUGUGUGUGUGUGUGUGAGAGAGAGAGAGAAGAGAUGAGAAAGGGUUCUGACUUCUGAGAAGUGAGUACUUUCAUCAUCAAAUCCAUUGCUGUCAAGUUGAACUGGAAGAGACAAAAGCUUCACAGAGUGCAAAAAAAUGAAAAAUUGAAUUUGCUUUUGGCAUUAAUGCCAAAUCCAGGAAUCCAACACCCAUUUUUAUUACUGUCCCAACUCCACUUUCAUCAUUUUUAUUCCACUGGAAUAAGCAGUUAUUGUCAAAACCACCUAUGUAUGGAGUAUUUUUUUUAAAGACAGCUACUUGUAGUAAAAUUUAAAAUGUGGAGUAAUAAAGUAAUCCAGAAAUA